GCAGCGGGGCGGGGCCCAGGUCGGCGGGGAGGGGGUCGGCUCUGCGGCGGCGCGCGCACACCCUCCCGGCUCACACGCCCUUGCCCGGCCGUGCACUUGUCUUCGCGCUCGGGCAGGGCGCAGGGACUCCGGCUGCGGCGGCCGACUCCGGCCGAUCUCAAAGGGACAGGAAAGGCAGCAGCAACCACCCUCUCUCCCAGUCAAGUGGUCACCAGCAGGACUGAAGGGGACAGCCCCUUUGCAGUGG
rnacentral:sRNA from 1 species